AAGAUCCUGUAUUUUACUCUACUUGUUAAAUGGGGUGUUUGUUAUAGGAAUCCAAGAGAAAAUGGCUCAAUCAGGUUAUGAUAUUAAUAGCUUAUUUCGAGAAGCUCAGUCCCGGUGGUUGAAGCCGGCAGAAGUUCUGUUUAUCCUACAAAAUCAUGAAAAAUAUGAACUCACGGAUGCGCCGCCUCAAAAGCCAACAGAGGGUUCUUCGUUUCUUUCGUAAAGAUGGUCACAGUUGGCGUAAAAAGAAGGAUGGAAAAGCUGUCGGUGAAGCCCAUUGUAGAUGCUCGGUUUUGUCCGGAGCUAGGUAGGAGCAGACCCAAAGCAGAGCAGUUGUAGGCCCAAACCAAUGACCCGGCAGAGCAGCCCAAAUCAGUCCAAACAACAUGUUAUACUAGCAUCCAGUCCACGUGAGUUCUGGAAAAACACAAACGAAUAUCCAGUGGGAAGGAGAGAAGUACUGUUUGAUCGUGGGUGGGAUACUAAACUGUAAGUUGGUUUUUAAUUUGUAAUUAACCACUGGAAACUAAAGGGGUGUCAGUUUUUAAUGGGAAACUAACCACCAGAAACAGGGGGGAGAAGGAAAAAUCAGACAGCAAAAAAAAACGAGCAGGAGAUUACAGAGAGAACGAAAA